AUGUACAAGAGAGGUGAAGUCAGGGAUCGUCUACUAGUUGGCAUCUACGUCGACGAUCUGUUGAUAACUGGAGCAGAUGAAGAGGCGAUUGCAAAGUUUAAGCUACAAAUGAAGGAGCUUUUCAAGAUGGAUGAUCUAGGUUUAUUGAGUUGCAACCUCGGGAUUGAGGUACAUCAAAAGCCGAAGGGGAUCACACUAUGCCAGGAGGCAUAUGCAAGGAAGAUACUUGAAAGCCGUGGCAUGAAAGAUUGCAAUCGCAUUGUCACUCCAAUGGAACCUCGUCUUGAGCUGAGCAAGAAGAGCAAAGUAUCCGUAGUUGAUGCAAUAGAGUAUAUUGCAGCGGCCGCUGCGGCGUGUCAAGGUGUGUGGCUAGGGAAGCUACACGGUGAUCUCAUGGAUCGAGAUCCGGAACCAGCGGUGCUCAAUGUUGACGGCGAGUCUAUAACUUUUCUACGCGAGGAUCCAGUGCGGCAUGAAAGGAGCAAGCACAUUGAUACGGUAUAUCACUACAUAAAGAACUGUGUGGAAGAAGGUAAGAUGAAGGUCAACUACGUUUGCACCGAUGAUCAACGAGCGGAUAUGCUAACCAAGACUUUGGACCGGCAGAAGUUCUUGGAGAUGCGAAGAAGAAUCGGCGUCGGAGCUGUGACGUGA
rnacentral:rRNA from 1 species